UACGGGGGGGGCAAGCGUUGUUCGGAAUUACUGGGCGGAAAGCGUGCGCAGGCGGUUCUCCAAGUCCGGUGUGAAAGCCCCGGGCUCAACCUGGGAAUGGCAGUGGAAACUAGGGGACUGGAAUCUGGCAGAGGGGGGUGGAAUGCCGCGUGUAGCAGUGAAAUGCGCAGAGAUCGGGAGGGACACCCGUAGCGAAGGCGGCGCUCUGGGCCGGUACUGACGCUGAGGAGCGAAAGCGUGGGGAGCAAACAGG
rnacentral:rRNA from 1 species